UACGGGGGGGGCAAGCGUUGUUCGGAAUUACUGGGUUUAAAGGGUGCGUAGGCGGUUUAUUAAGUCAGUGGUGAAAGCCCGGAGCUCAACUUCGGAACUGCCAUUGAUACUGAUAGACUUGAGUACAGAUGAAGUGGGCGGAAUGUGACAAGUAGCGGUGAAAUGCUUAGAUAUGUCACAGAACACCGAUUGCGAAGGCAGCUCACUAAAGUGUAACUGACGCUGAGGCACGAAAGCGUGGGGAUCAAACAGG
rnacentral:rRNA from 1 species